rnacentral:lncRNA from 10 species
AGAAUUCAAGAUGGCGUGUUUAGGAGCUCUAGCUCCUUGACAAAUUAGUAAAAUGUUAGUCUUAGGAGAAGAACGAAAAGGCUCUCCUAGGCUAAGAAACAGCAUACACAGUGAGAAACCUCAGAAGAAAUAAAAUUCAAGGAAGAUAGCAACAACGAAAACAUCAGAAGGAACACUAAAGCUAAAUGGAAAUGACUUUUGAAUUAUCUGCUUUGGAAGAUUAUCCAUGACACUGUUCUGCCCUGCUCUGCUCUAACAACAUUUUGCUAUUAUGCCUGCCUGAAAUGCCUUCUUUCCUCUUAACUCUGCGAAGCCUGUUCAUUUUUAAGACCCAGAUCAAGACUGCCUCCUCCAUGAAGAAACCGCUGACUAUUCAGGCUGACAAUUUUCUCUCCAUCCUCUGAAUUUCUCUAGCACUUAUCACCUGUAGAACUCAUUAAAAAUCAUGUACUGGUAAAGUUGAAAGCAGCUGGAGACCAUUUAAUCUAAAACCCUCAUUCUUUUGCCAUUGACAUUGUUGGCAUUAUUACAAAAACCCCUGCUAUUUAUCAUUUUUAUUGAUAUUAAACUUUCUACACUCCUAAUUUCUGUCUCUUCAAAUGUGUUUUCUCAAGGAUAGGAGAUAAAGCCUACACAUCCACAGCAGAUUAUCAUCACUUCCAUUUAUUGGGAUUUGUGACCUUUAAGUCAUUGUGCUAGGUCCUUCAUCUAUAUUACA